AGCUCAGCGGUAAAGUAUCUGCCUGCAAUGCAGGGGACUCAGGUUCAAUCCCUGG
rnacentral:tRNA from 1 species